CGAGAAUUUCCUCCCUACACGCAAAUACGAGCAUUUCUGCAUCUCACUGGUAGAAAUGGGCCAUCUAAAUUUCCUGGCUGUAAGCGAACCACAAUAUUCAUAAUUCAUUGAGAUUUCACGAUGUAGUACCGCCCCUGUCAAAGUGGAUCCAAUUGAGAAUGGGUAUCAAAAGAGAACAACUGUAAAAUGAGUGUGGUGCUCUGUACUUGGAUGUGCAAACUACAAGCAAGCACAGGCUGUUGGGGUAACAUUUCAUUGGUUACCUUACUAAGAAGUCAAGCAGAGAGUCCAAUUCCAUCAACAUCUAUAGCAGCAUAAACAUCGAGCUAAGCACCAGGACCCUUUGCUAAAUCUUUCCAUGACUCCACGAUGAGCAAAUAAAUAUACUGGAGGUUAUGAGAAUCUACCAUCUGAAGCUGAAGCAAUAUUCCUUGACCCAAGGACUGUACUUGAAAUGAUACAAGAUCAGUCCUUAUCAACCGGUGGAACGGAAGAAGAAUUCCUCACUACCAGCAGACUGUCCGAACAUAAUUUCUAAUAGUUAUCUAUGUGGGAUUGAUACCAGUGUGGAAGAGCUGGUCACUUUUAAAAUACUUGCCAAUUGGACGAUUUAAUAUUAUUGUCUUCCUGCUUAUACAUGAUGUGGUAAGAAUCGUAAGCGACAUCAUCAUUACACAUGUCAAUACUUAUUUUAUAUAACUUUGUUUGAAAUCUAUUUCUUAUUGUAAAGCAAGUAGAAUAUGCCCUUUGUGUUUUAUAGAAAUGCAAGGUGUUUAAUGUGAAUGAUUUUAUGCUUACUGCUAAUGUUUUUUUAUACUGUCUAUUUUUUAAUGUUUUCUAUUGUUUUCUAAAAAUACAUUUAAAGUAUAUUUAUUUUUAAAAUGGGGGGAGUGUAAGAAUAUUUAGAAGAUAAAUACACAAUGUAGAGGACGAGAGGUCAAUAGAGUACAAACGGUCAAGAGGACUAAAAAGCCAAUAGAGUACUAACGAUCAAUGGAAAUUGUGUUUUUUUCUGUAGUAGGGGAUUAAUGAUCAAUGGGUGUCACGAGAAUUUUCAAUCCCAAUGAUAAUAACAAUCAAUCAAUAGCUUUGACAAAAUCCCCGAGGUUUAUAAGACCAUGGGUUUAAUAAUAAUUAGUCAAAGACAGUUUAGUACAGUUUAUUCACGAGAACGUUCUAAACUCAAUAAUAGACAAACAUCAAUUUGAUUGCUGCGCACAUACUUCCACACACAAACAGUAGGUAUCCUACGCACAUACUGUAUCACUAGCCAGCCGACAAAGAUUAGGGAGACCUUGAGACGUACUCCCUGUCCUCUCCCAAAUCUCUAGUCAGGUCGGUACCGAAUUUUGCUCAGACAGUCUGUGUUUAAGAUACGAUAAAGACAUAUUGUACAGAUACAUUGUAAAACUACACUCACAGAUAUAUAAUUUUACUGACUAAAACUACACACAUCAUUAGAAUAAUUUCAUGAUUCUAAUCUAUUUUAUACAAUUAUAUGGUUUCAGGGUGGAAUAUUCUAAUCAUUAAUUUAAACAUAUAAAUUCCAUUAUCAAUGGGUCAGAGACAUGGGAGUCCGGGACUCAUAGCUACAUGGUAAGUUCUCAUUGGUCCAAAUUGUUUAUACAUUGAGCCUGAAAUAUGAUACUUGUUAUUUGGCCAUUGUCCCAGCUAAUUGCAAGGAAUUCUAAUUGGUCAACCACAGGCUAGGGUUGGGUUAUAAAACUACAUCUUGUCCCUUUGUUCUGUGGAGAGAAGCAUUGAGGACCGGGGAGAAUGAACAUCUACCUCCACGCAUGAUUUGUUCUCUUUGAAUAAACCUAUUUUCCUCCCCCUG